rnacentral:tRNA from 1 species
GCCACCAUGGCGCAAUCGGUAGCGCAGCGCUCUUGUAAAGCGAAGGUUGACGGUUCGAGUCCGUCUGGUGGCU